GACGAACGCUGGCGGCGUGCCUAAUACAUGCACGUUGAGCGCUGAAGGUUGGUACUUGUACCGACUGGAUGAGCAGCGAACGGGUGAGUAACGCGUGGGGAAUCUGCCUUUGAGCGGGGGACAACAUUUGGAAACGAAUGCUAAUACCGCAUAAAAACUUUAAACACAAGUUUUAAGUUUGAAAGAUGCAAUUGCAUCACUCAAAGAUGAUCCCGCGUUGUAUUAGCUAGUUGGUGAGGUAAAGGCUCACCAAGGCGAUGAUACAUAGCCGACCUGAGAGGGUGAUCGGCCACAUUGGGACUGAGACACGGCCCAAACUCCUACGGGAGGCAGCAGUAGGGAAUCUUCGGCAAUGGACGAAAGUCUGACCGAGCAACGCCGCGUGAGUGAAGAAGGUUUUCGGAUCGUAAAACUCUGUUGGUAGAGAAGAACGUUGGUGAGAGUGGAAAGCUCAUCAAGUGACGGUAACUACCCAGAAAGGGACGGCUAACUACGUG
rnacentral:rRNA from 1 species